rnacentral:rRNA from 1 species
GACGAACGCUGUUGGCGUGCUUAACACAUGCAAGUCGAACGGAAAGGCCCUGCUUUUGUGGGGUGCUCGAGUGGCGAACGGGUGAGUAACACGUGAGUAACCUGCCCUUGACUUUGGGAUAACUUCAGGAAACUGGGGCUAAUACCGGAUAGGAGCUCCUGCUGCAUGGUGGGGGUUGGAAAGUUUCGGCGGUUGGGGAUGGACUCGCGGCUUAUCAGCUUGUUGGUGGGGUAGUGGCUUACCAAGGCUUUGACGGGUAGCCGGCCUGAGAGGGUGACCGGCCACAUUGGGACUGAGAUACGGCCCAGACUCCUACGGGAGGCAGCAGUGGGGAAUAUUGCACAAUGGGCGGAAGCCUGAUGCAGCAACGCCGCGUGCGGGAUGACGGCCUUCGGGUUGUAAACCGCUUUCGCCUGUGACGAAGCGUGAGUGACGGUAAUGGGUAAAGAAGCACCGGCUAACUACGUGCCAGCAGCCGCGGUGAUACGUAGGGUGCGAGCGUUGUCCGGAUUUAUUGGGCGUAAAGGGCUCGUAGGUGGUUGAUCGCGUCGGAAGUGUAAUCUUGGGGCUUAACCCUGAGCGUGCUUUCGAUACGGGUUGACUUGAGGAAGGUAGGGGAGAAUGGAAUUCCUGGUAGAGCGGUGGAAUGCGCAGAUAUCAGGAGGAACACCAGUGGCGAAGGCGGUUCUCUGGGCCUUUCCUGACGCUGAGGAGCGAAAGCGUGGGGAGCGAACAGGCUUAGAUACCCUGGUAGUCCACGCUGUAAACGGUGGGUACUAGGUGUGGGGUCCAUUCCACGGGUUCCGUGCCGUAGCUAACGCUUUAAGUACCCCGCCUGGGGAGUACGGCCGCAAGGCUAAAACUCAAAGGAAUUGACGGGGCCCCGCACAAGCGGCGGAGCAUGCGGAUUAAUUCGAUGCAACGCGUAGAACCUUACCUGGGUUUGACAUGGAUCGGGAGUGCUCAGAGAUGGGUGUGCCUCUUUUGGGGUCGGUUCACAGGUGGUGCAUGGCUGUCGUCAGCUCGUGUCGUGAGAUGUUGGGUUAAGUCCCGCAACGAGCGCAACCCUUGUUCACUGUUGCCAGCACGUUAUGGUGGGGACUCAGUGGAGACCGCCGGGGUCAACUCGGAGGAAGGUGGGGAUGACGUCAAGUCAUCAUGCCCCUUAUGUCCAGGGCUUCACGCAUGCUACAAUGGCUGGUACAGAGAGUGGCGAGCCUGUGAGGGUGAGCGAAUCUCGGAAAGCCGGUCUCAGUUCGGAUUGGGGUCUGCAACCCGACCUCAUGAAGUCGGAGUCGCUAGUAAUCGCAGAUCAGCAACGCUGCGGUGAAUACGUUCCCGGGGCU